GCCUAAAUUGAGUUUUGACCUUUUGAUUGGCUCUGCCUGUCCCUUCUUUCAUCAACAAUCAACAUAAAGGUUUCUGUAAGGGGGGAGAUUUCGGGAGGUUUUUCUUUUUCCAUCUCUUUGAUUUUGAUUUGGCCGUACAAAUGUAAAAGGUGUCACGUAAUAAGAACACAACUGAUGAUGAUCUACACCACAAUCACUGUUGAUGUUUGUCAUCAUCAAAUUCAUUACGUUCAUCGACUAUUCCAUUUUAAGGGUUUUCCUGUUGCGAGCUUACCUGACAUCUAAAGCCAAAGAAUAAAAUCUAUGCGUAAGAAUUUUGCUUGCUUGAGAUGGUGAUGUCUUUCCAUUUGUAAAAGUAACCUUAGCGAAAGACAAAUCAGAAUUGACAGGGAUAUUGGAUUAGACAA
rnacentral:lncRNA from 1 species